CACGAACGCUGGCGGCGUGCCUAAUACAUGCAAGUCGAACGGUCUUUUCUAUGGAAGCUUGCUUCCACUGAGAAGAUAGUGGCGAACGGGUGAGUAACACGUGGGUAACCUGCCCAUAAGAGGGGGAUAACAUCCGGAAACGGGUGCUAAUACCGCAUAGUUUUCUUGAUUGCAUGAUCGAGAAAGGAAAGACGGCCUUUGUGCUGUCGCUUAUGGAUGGACCCGCGGCGUAUUAGUUAGUUGGUGUGGUAACGGCUCACCAAGACGAUGAUACGUAGCCGACCUGAGAGGGUGAUCGGCCACAUUGGGACUGAGACACGGCCCAAACUCCUACGGGAGGCAGCAGUAGGGAAUCUUCCGAAAUGGACGAAAGUCUGACGGUGCAACGCCGCGUGAGUGAAGAAGGUUUUCGGAUCGUAAAACUCUGUUGUCAGAGAAGAACAAGUUGGAGAGUAACUGCUCCAGCCUUGACGGUAUCUGACCAGAAAGCCACGGCUAACUACGUGCCAGCCGCCGCAGUAACAC
rnacentral:rRNA from 1 species